ensembl:miRNA
GGCCAGAAAAGAAGAAGCAUUCUUUCAUUUGUUGGUGUGUAUUGCCUUGUUAACCAAUCAGAGGAUGCCAUUUAUCCUUUUCUGACUAGCU